rnacentral:rRNA from 1 species
GGCGGCGUGCUACACAUGAAGUCGAACGAGAAAGCACUUCGGUGUGAGUAUAGUGGCGCACGGGUGAGUAACACGUAGGUGACCUACCGAUUAGUGGGGGAUAACCCGAAGAAAUUCGGGCUAAUACCGCAUAAGCAAGACAAAUUUGAAAGUAGUCUUGGAAAGAAUGCCUCUGCAUAUGCAUUUGCUGAUUGAUGGGCCUGCGGGACAUUAGUUUGAUGGUGGGGUAACGGCCUACCUUGACUUCGAUGUCUAGCGGAUCUGAGAGGAUGAUCCGCCACACUGGAACUGAGACACGGUCCAGACUCCUACGGGAGGCAGCAGUGGGGAAUAUUGCGCAAUGGGGGAAACCCUGACGCAGCAACGCCGCGUGAGUGAGGAAGGCUUUCGGGUUGUAAAACUCUGUCAAUGUUGAAAAACGGUGUUUGGUCUAAUAGGCCUUGCAUUUGAUGGUAAACAUAAAGGAAGCACCGGCUAACUUCGUGCCAGCAGCCGCGGUAAUACGAAGGGUGCAAGCGUUGUUCGGAUUUAUUGGGCGUAAAGCGCGCGCAGGCGGAUUCGUAAGUCAGAUGUGAAAUCUCGGGGCUCAACCCCGAAACUGCGUCUGAAACUACCAAUCUAGAGUCUCGGAGAGGGAAGGGGAAUUUCUCAUGUAGGGGUAAAAUCCGUAGAGAUGAGAAGGAACACCAGAGGCGAAGGCGCCUUCCUGGACGAGUACUGACGCUGAGGCGCGAAAGCGUGGGGAGCAAACAGGAUUAGAUACCCUGGUAGUCCACGCCGUAAACGAUGACAACUAACUAUUGGGGGUAUUGACUCCUUCCGAGCCGCAGCUAACGCAUUAAGUGCACCGCCUGGGGAGUACGGUCGCAAGACUAAAACUCAAAGGAAUUGACGGGGGCCCGCACAAGCGGUGGAUUAUGUGGUUUAAUUCGAAGCAACGCGCAGAACCUUACCUGGGCUUGAAAUCCCACGAAUCCCCUAGAAAUACUGGGGUGCCCUUCGGAGAAUUUGGUGAUAGGCGCUGCAUGGCUGUCGUCAGCUCGUGUUGUGAAAUGUUGGGUUAAGUCUCGCAACGAGCGCAACCCCUAUCCUUAGUUGCCAGCAUUAAGUUGGGCACUCUAGGGAGACUGCCUGGGUUAACCAGGAGGAAGGUGGGGAUGACGUCAAGUCCUCAUGGCCCUUAUGUCCAGGGCUACACACGUAAUACAAUGGGCGGUACAGAGGGACGCUAAGCCGCGAUGGGGAGCAAAUCUCAAAAAGCUACUCUCAGUCCGGAUUGGAGUCUGCAACUCGACUCCAUGAAGUUGGAAUCGCUAGUAAUCGUGUAUCAGAACGUCACGGUGAAUACGUUCCCGGGCCUUGUACACACCGCCCGUCACACCAUGGGAGUUGGCUUUACCUGAAGCCGUGGCCUUAACCGCAAGGGGAGGAGCGUCUACGUCGAAC